AAAACCUAUCUCCCCCUUUCCUUCUUUAGUUCCCUCUUUCACUCCACGGUGAUGAAAUUGAAGACUUCAAAAUCAUACAAAUGUGUGUUCAGCAGUUGAAGGAUAACGUGUGCGCAAAAUGGUAUUUGAUACUUUUCUAUCUUUUUUUGGAUGUUUACAGUAGUAAUUUUAGUUGUUGAUAACCUUAACAUUUUCUUUCUCUUUUUUGAUUAAAAAUCAAAUCUUUCUCAUUUGGGUGUUAUUAAUUUUGUUAAAUAGAAGCUCAAGCUUCCACUUUGUACUUUUUUUGUGGUAGAUGUUAGUUUUCUUGGGAUUUUUGAACGUAGAAAGAAACUUAUUUUCCUUUAUUUAUUUAUUUUUGUUUUUUAGAUGUUUGUUUUACUGCAUAACAUUUCUUUUAAGUCGAGGGGCUAUCGAAAAUCAACUCUGAAACACCACAAACAAAGUUAGGAGUUAUCCUUUCUAGAACUUUGGAAACUUAACUUUCUAUCUGGCUAAGAAACUACUCAAAGUUAUACCAAUAUGUAUAUAUAUUGGACAUCAUCCAUCCUCACCUCUGAAGAAGAAACUCGACAAGCAUCACCAAAUUUGGGAUUCGUUAGUUGAUAUUUAUUUCUAAGUUAUGUUAAGUGUUGAAUUUCCUUAGGAGAGGUUGAAUUAUUGAGUGGAAACUUACUUUCUGUCUGGUUAGUAGAGAUUUCUUGCUUUUUAAGAGAUUAGUCCAAGUAAGAACGAGAAGUAUAUUGGAUAUGUUCCGUUAUUAAGAAGAUGCAUCAUCCAAUUUGGGAUUCUUGAGUUGAUGUAAAUUUCGAAGUUAUGUUGUGUGUUAAAUUCUCCUAGGAGAGCUUGAUGUAUUGAGUGGAAACUUACUUUUUGUAUGGUUAGUAGGAAUUUCUUGUUUGCUAAGGGAUUUGUCUAAGUUAGACCGACAAGUAUUUAUAUGUUAGACAUGAUCUUUGAGUUUCUUCUUCACAUAUGCGGAAGGAUAAUGUCCAACAUAUAUACUUGUCCGUUUAACUAAGACUAAUCCCUUAAGCAAACAUAAAUUCGUACUAACUCUACAAAAAGUAAGUUUCCAUUCAAUACUUUAAGCUCGCUAAGAGAAUUCAACACACCAUAUAAAUUUGAGAUAAACAUCAACUCACGAAUCCCCGAUUGGGUGAUUCUUCUCGAGUUUCUUCUUCACAAAUGAGGAAGCAUCAUGUCUAACAUAUAUACUUCUCGGUCAAACUUGGACUCAUUCCUUAGCAGACAAAAAAUUUUAACUAGCUAGACAGAAAGUAGGUUUCCACUCAAUGCGUCAAGCUCACCCAAGGUAAUUUAACACACUACAUAACUUUGAAAUAAACAUCAAUCAAGAAUCCCAAAUUAGGUGAUGAUUCUUCGAGUUUCGUCUUCAUUUGCUCAAAUAAAUCGCAACUUAUCCAAAAGAGGAUAACUAUUUGAUAGUUUUUGAUUAGUUUUUCAUGUAAAAGUGUAUUUGUUUCAUUGAUUUUAUUCAAUUUAAUCUCAAGCAUUGUUACGGAUGGUAAUUGAGCGAAUUAUAUCAAUUUUAGUCAAUCAUAUUGUGUCAAGAUAACAAACGGUUCAAGAUCAAAUUCAAACUGAAUUAAUUGGAUCGGUAUGAAUUGAGCCAAAAAGGAGCAGAGAAUGAGUCAAGACCCAACUCAACUCAAUUUUCACCCAAUUUAAUUAAUUUAUUGGUUCUUUUAAAAUAUUUUAGUACACAAUAACAUUAGGAUAAAAUUAUUUUGUGGAUAUAUGUAAAGAAUUAUACUACACAACCUCCUACUUUUUCAUUAGCGACGACAAUGGGGUGGUGUAGGGCUGGGGCGAGUGUGUUGAGCAUAACCCACAAAUUUAUUAAUCCGCCCCGCCCCGCAUAGCAAAAAUUUUCAUAUUCAACCCUCCCUGCCCCACCCUACCCCACAUAAACCUGUCCCGUAUGAAUACGCCCUACAUUAUUUUUAUAAUAUUUUUUUUUCUUAGUUAUGUUUUAUACUUAAAAUAAAAUUCAUUCAAAAAUUCAUUUUUUCCUUAAGUUGUAUUAAUUAAAUAGGAUAGUGACUUUAAAUUUUAAUUUUUAGUGGUCAAUUGAGAAUCAUGCAAGAAAUUGUAUUAUUUUUUAUGAACCAUCGUCAUUUAUAUUAUUGAAUAUUUUAGUAGUUUUAAUGAAUUUAUCUUAAUAAAUAAUGUUCUGUCAUUCUAUCACAUGUAAGAAGUUAAAAUUAAGUUUGAACCCACAUAAAAUCACAUAUACGCGCAGCCCACCUUGACCCACAUUAAUUAAAAUGAAAUCCACUUCAAUUCACCCCGCUUCAGACAUGCCCCACAUAACCUUAAGCCCGCCCCGCCUCACAUACCCUUAAACCUAUCCUGCCCCGCAUCCGGUUCACCAUAUUGCCAUUCUUAUUUUUCAUGGUCGUCUAAAAACAAUGGUAAUCAAAUUAUUAAAUAUAAACGCCUUACAAUGUACAAACCAUUUAUGUUGAGAAAUUUAAAAUAUAUAUAUAAUCAAACAAAAAACACUCUUAUAUAUAUCAUCUAAAAUUUUUGUCAAGAAAAUUAAAAUGAAUAUACCUUCGCUCCUUCUAGAUUCGCCCUUGCAUAAAAGUGGCUAAAAUGCAGGAAUUUUGUGUCAAUAAUACUGAAUAGAUGAUAUCUCUUGGUAUUUUCUAUAUCUCUUAUAGAUUGAAAUGACAAUUUUUUUUUAAAAAAAAGAUCACAAAAUCCGAAAAUUGAAUUUGUAACUAACCUAUAAAAUGAAGUUUAACUAUUAUGAGGUGUUAAAUGUCACAUGCAAAAAAUAUUAAGAGGGCUGAAUUGGACAUAUCACAUCAAUUUUAAUCUCUUUUCCCAUAAAGUUAUGUGAUAUUUGUUUCUUUUUUUAAGUUAUUUCCAAAAUAAAGUCUUUUUAUAGUCCUAUAUUAAGUGUCCACUUUAUUAUAGAUAAUUAUUUCAAACAUUUGGAUCUCAUUUAUUAUUAAAAUUAUUACUUUUUUUAAUUUAUGUAAAUUAAUCAUGUUUGUAAACCUUCAGAAAAAUAUUUUUUAAUUAAAAUUAAUGAAAUUUAUCAUUUUUAUAAUGAGAAAAUAAAUAAUUAAAUUAAAAUAAAAAUUACAUAAUUUAUCUCUACAAUUUUAGUAAAUUUAUAAUCACAUAAAUCUAUAAGAUUUCUAUUACAUGUCACAUUUCAAUUUUCUGUUUUUUUUUAUUUUUUUAAUGUCGAAUGAAAAUGUAUCACGUAAUUUGAUACGGACAAAACAAUACAACUAAGGAACCAAUAUAAUUAAUUGCCCCCACCACCUACCCCACUCACCCCACUCCAUAUUACAAUUCUGUAAAUUUAAUUUAAGUAGAAAACCUAUCUCCCCCUUUCCUUCUUUAGUUCCAUCUUUCACUCCGUGGUGAUGAAAUUAAAGACUUCAAAAUCAUAAAAAAUUGUGUUCAGUAGUUGAAGGAUAACGUGUGCGCAAAAUGGUAUUUGAUAUUUUUCUAACUUUUUUUGGAUGUUUACAGUAGUAAUUUUAGUUUUUGAUAAGCUUAAAAUUAGCUUUCUCUUUCUCAUUUGGGUGUCGUUAAUUUUGUGAAAUAGAUGCCCGAUCUUCCACUUUGUACUUUGUUUUGUGGUAGAUGUUAGUUUUCUUGGGAUUUUGAAACGUAGAAAGAACCCUAUUUUCCUUUUUUUUAAUUAUUUUUGUUUUUUAGAUGUUGGUUUUACUGCAUAGCAUUUCUUUUAAGUCGAGGGGCUAUCGAAAAUCAACUCUGAAACACCAUAAACAAAGUUAGGAGUAAACUGUUGUGUACAAGUUAUUCUUUCUAGAACAUUGGAAACAUAACUUUCUGUCUUGCUACGGAACUAGUCCAUGUUAUACAAAUAUGUAUAUAUAUUGGACAUUAUCCUUCCUCACCUAUGAACAAGAAACUCGAGAAGCAUCACCUAAUUUGGAAUUCGUGAGUUGAUAUUUAUUUCAAAGUUAUGUUAUAUGUUAAAUUUCCCUAGGAGAGGUUUAAACAUUGAGUGGAAACUUACUUUUUGUCUGGUUAGUAGACAUUUCUUGCUUGUUAACAGAUUAGUCCAAGUAAGAACGACAAGUAUGUUGGACAUGUUCCUUAAUUAAGACGAUACAUCAUCCAAUUUGGGAUUCUUGAGUUGAUGUAAAUUUCGAACUUAUGUUGUGUGAUUAAUUCUCCUAGGCGAUCUUGAAGUAUUGAAUGGAAACUUACUUUUUGUAUGGUUUGUAGGAAUUUCUUGUUUGCUAAGGGAUUUGUCUAAGUUAGACCGACAAUUAUAUAUAUGUUGGACAUGAUCUUUGAGUUUCUUCUUCAUUGAUGAGGAAGGAUAAUGUAACAUAUAUACUUGUCCAUUUAACUAAGACUAAUCCCUUAAGCAAACAAAAUUCCUACUAACUAUAGAAAAAGUAAGUUUUCGUUCAAUACUUUAAGCUCGCCAAAAGAAAUCAACACACCACAUAACUUCGAGAUAAGCAUCAACUCACGAAUCCCUAAUUGGGAGAUUCUUCUCGAUUUUCUUUUUCACAAAUGAGGAAGCAUCAUGUCUAACAUAUAAACUUCUCAGUCUAACUUAGACUAAUUCCUUAAGAGACAAGAAAUUUCUACAAGCUAGACAGAAAGUAAGUUUCCACUCAAUGUGGUAAGUUCACCCAAUAAAUUUUAACACACAACAUAACUUCGAAAUAAACAUCAAUCAAGAAUCCAAUAUAGAGUGCUGAUUCUUCGAGUUUCGUCUUCAUUUGCUCAAAUAAAUCGCGAUUUAUCAAAAAGAGGAUAACUAUUUUAUAGUUUUUGAUUAGUUUUUCAUGUAGAAGUGUAUUUGUUUCAUUGAUUUUCUUCUAUUUAAUCUCAAGCAUUGUUACGGAUAGUAAUUGCGCAAAUUAGAUCAAUUUUAGUCAAUCAUAUUGUGUCAAGAUAACAAACGGUUCAAGAUCCAAUUCAAACUGAAUUAAUUGAAUCAAUAUGAAUUGAGCCAAAAAGGAGCAGAUAACGAGUCUAGAUCCAACUCAACUCAAUUUUCACCUUGUUUAAUUAAUUUAUUUGUCCUUUUAAAUUAUUUUAGUACAGUAUAACAUUAGGAUAAAAUUAUUUUAUGGAUAUAUGUAAAGAAUUAUACUUCAGAACCUCCUGCUUUUUCAUUAGGGACGACAAUGGGGCGGUGUAGGGCGGGGGUGGUGCGGGUUGAGCUUAACUCACAAUCUUAUUAAUCUGCCCCGCCCCGCAUAGCAAAAAUAUUCAUUUUCAACCCUCCAUGCACCACCCUACCCCACAUAGACUUGUCCCACGUGAACUCGCCCUGCAUUAGUUUUAAAAUAUUUUCUUUUUUCUUAGUUAUGUUUCAUACUAAAAAUAAAAUUCCUUAAAAAAUUCAUUUUUUCCUUAAGUUGUAUUAAUUUAAUAGGAUAGUGACUUUAAAUUUUAUUUUUUAGAGGUCAAUUGUGAAUCAUGUAAGAAAUUGUAUUAUUUUUUAUGAACCAUCUUCAUUUAUAAUAUCGAAUAUUUCAGUAGAUUUAAUGAAUUUAUCUUAAUAAAUAAUGUUCUGUCAUUCUAUGACAUGUAAGAAGUUAAAAUUAAGUUUGAACCCACAUAAAAUCACACAUACCCGCAGCUCAUAUUGACCCACAUUAAUUAAAAAGAAAUCCACUUCAACCCACCCCGCUUCAGACCCGCCCUACAUAACCUUAAGCCCGCCCCGCCACACAUACCCUUAAACCUAUCCUGCCCCACAUCCGGUUCACCUUAUUGCCAUUCUUAUUUUUCAUGGUCGUCUAAAAACAAUGGUAAUCAAAGUAGUGAAUAUAAAUGCCUUACAAUGUACAAAACUAUUUAUGUUGAGAAAUUUAAAAUUUAUAUAUAAACAAACAAAAAACACUCUUAUAUAUCAUAUGAAAAAAUUUUCAAGAAAAUUUAAAUUAAUAUACCUUCGCCCCUUCUAGAUUCGCCCUUUCAUAAAAGUGGAUAAAAUUCAGGAAUUUUGUGUAAAUAAUACUGAACAGAUGAUAUCUCUUGGUAUUUUCUAUAUCUCUUAUAUAUAAAAAUGACGAUUAUUUUAUAAAAUAAGAUCACAAAAUCUGAAAAUUGAAUUAGUAACUGAUCUAUAAAAUGAAGUUUAACUAUUUUGAUGUGUUAAACGUCACAUGCAAAAAAUAUUAAGUGGACUGAUUUGGGCAUAUCACAUAAAUUUUAAUCUCUUUUCCCAUUAAUUUAUGUGAUAUUUGCUUCUUUUUUAAUGUUAUUUCCAAAAGAAUGUCUUUUCAUAGUCCUAUAUUUAGUGUCCCCUUUAUUAUAGACAAUUAUUUCAAUCAUUUGAAUCUCAUUUAUUCCUCAAAAUUAUUACUCUUUUAAUUUUGUAAAUUAAUCAAGUUUGAAAAACUUCAGAAAAAAAUUCAAUAAGAUCAAAUUAAUGAUAUUUAUGAAAUUUAAAAUGAGAAAAUAAAUAACUAAACUAAAAUAAAAAAUACAUAAUUUAUCUCUACAUAUUUAGUAAAUUUAUAAUCACAUUAAUCUAUAAGAUUUCUAUUACAUGUAACAUUCCAAUUUUCUAUUUAUUUUUAAUUUUUUUAAUGUCGAAUUAAAUUGUAUCACGUAAUUUGAUACGGACAAGACAAUACAACUAAGGAACCAACAUAAUUAAUUGACCCCACCACCCACCCCAAUCACCCCACUCCAUAUUACAAUUCUGUAAAAUAUAAUUUAAGAAGAAAACCUAUCUUCCCCUUUCCUUCUUUAGUUCGCUCUUUCACUCCGCGGUGAUGAAAUUGAAGACUUCAAAAUCAUAAAAAUUUGUGUUCAGUAGUUGAAGGAUAACGUGUGCGCAAUAUGGUAUUUGAUACUUUUCUAACUUUUUUUGGAUUUUUACAGUAGUAAUUUUAGUUGUUGAUAAGCUUAAAAUUUUCUUUCCCUUUUUGUUUAAAAGUCAAAUCUUUCUCAUUUGGGUGUUGUUAAUUUUGUGAAAUAGAUGCCCGAUCUUCCACUUUGUACUUUGUUUUGUGGUAGAUGUUAGUUUUCUUGGGAUUUUGAAACGUAGAAAGAACCCUAUUUUACUUUUUAUUUAUUUAUUUUUGUUUUUUAGAUGUUGGUUUUACUGCAUAAUAUUUCUUUUAUGUCGAGGGUCUAUCAAAAAUCAACUCUGAAACACCACAAACAAAGUAAGGAGUAAACUGUUUUGUCCAUGUUAUCCUUUCUAGAACUUUGGAAACAUAACUUUCUGUCUGGCUAAGAAACUAGUCCAAGUUAUACCAAUAUGUAUAUAUAUUGGACAUUAUCCUUCCUCUCCUAUGAAGAAGAAACUCCAGAAGCAUCACCCAAUUUGGAAUUCAUGAGUUGAUAUUUAUUUAAAAGUUGUGAUAUAUGUUGAAUUUCCCUAGGAGAGGUUUAAACAUUGAGUGGAAACUUACUUUCUGUCUGGUUAGUAGAGAUUUCUUGCUUGUUAAGAGAUUAGUCAAAGUAAGAACGAGAAGUAUGUUGGAAAUGUUCCUUUCUUAAUAAGAUUCAUCAUCCAAUUUGGGAUUCUUGAGUUGAUGUAAAUUUCGAAGUUAUGUUAUGUGUUAAAUUCUCCUAGGCAAUCUUGAAGUAUUGAAUGGAAACUUACUUUUUGUAUGGUUUGUACGAAUUUCUUGUUUGCAAAGGGAUUUGUCUAAGUUAGACCGACAAGUAUAUAUAUGUUGGACAUGUUCUUUGAGUUUCAUCUUCACAGAUGAGGAAUGAUAAUGUAACAUAUAUACUUGUCCAUUUAACUAAGACUAAUCCCUUAAGAGAACAAAAUUUCUACUAACUAUACAAAAAUUAAGUUUCCAUUCAAUACUUUACGAUCGCCAAAAGAAUUCAACACACCACAUAACUUCGAUAUAAACAUCAACUCACCAAUCCCUAAUUGGGUGAUUCUUCUCGAGUUUCUUCUUCACAAAUCACGGAGCAUCAUGUCUAACAUAUAUACUUCUCGGUCUAACUUGGACUAAUUCCUUAGCAGACAAGAAAUUUCUACUAGCAAGAAAGAAUGUAAGUUUCCACUCAUUGUGUCAAGCUCACCCAAGGAAAUUUAACACACAACAUAACUUUCAAAUAAACAUGAAUCAAGAAUCCCAAAUUGUGUGAUGAUUCUUCGAGUUUUGUCAUCAUAGAAAGGAAUGAGUAUGUCCAUCAUAUUUCUCAGUAUAACUUGGAUUUAUUCUUUAAUAAGCAAGAAAUUACUAAGAGUAAGUUGCAUUUCACUCUCUUCUAAUAGUACAUCAUAAAAUUUAACAAUCCUCAGGCGAUUAAAUGUGAUAUUCGAGAAUCUUGCAUGAAUCUCAUCAAUAAAAUCACAGGGCACAAGUUCGAAAUAAUCCCCAUCACUAAGGAUACAUAAUCAUUCUUCAUAUAGCAUAAAUGUUUGGGGUCAUAUAUUCUGAAAAGGUUAACUGAUAUAGUAGUAUUUUUUGUACAAGUGUUAAAUCUAUAGUAAAACAUUUGUACUAAAAUUAAUACAAGUACUAUUUUUAUAUAUACUACCAAAUUACUCCUUUAGUGUUGAAAGAAGUGUCAAGUAUUAUCUAUUGAUUUAUAAUGUUGCAUAAACACAUGUCAUUCAUGUAGUGUUUUUAUGUAAACACUCACUACUAUAAAUUUGUAGUACAAUAAGUAUCGCAUCACUAAAUUGAACUGCUAGGUUCUCUUCAAUUUCUAUACAAAAAUAUUUUAUAUGUGUUUACUUUAACCUAAUCAAAACAAUUUUACAUCAAAAGUUUCAAACUAAAGAAAUCAAUUCAAGUGUCAUCUACGAAUUAUACACCUUUUCUUUUAUUUUUAAAGUUGUGACAUGUUUGUUUGUUGUUCGUGUAGCAUAUAUUCUGUCCUUAAAAAUCGUAUUCUUUUUUAAUUUCUACAAAUUAUCAUUCCUCCGGAUGAACAAAGACUAUGUUUACCUUCUCCUGAUCGACUUAGCAAUCUUGCCAUUCAUUUAAUUGUUGACAUUUUAAAUAGGUUGUCUUUUCAAGAUAUAUAAGAACUAGUACACUUUCUAAGGAAUGGCAAAAUAUUUGCCAAAAAAUUAACAGGUUAAUUUUGAUCAAAAGUUUUGGGAAACACCAGAGGACUUGACAUCCCAUACCAUUUGAUUUAUUCCUAUUCUUGAUUGUUUCCUCUAGUUUCAUAUGUGAAUAACAUAGAAAGUUAUCCUAGACUUUACUAGUCUAAAAGUAUGUCCUAAAUAAAAAACUUUGACCUAACUUGGACUAAUCCCUUGACAGGAAAGAAGUUCCUACUAACAAAAAAGUAAGUUUCCCUGAGAGAAUUCAAUAAAUAACAUAACUUUGCAAUAAACAACCAAAGACUCAAAUCAUAUAUCAUUUAAGAGCAUCCAUGAAAUGUAAAACCCAUCUCUGUUGACAAACUGAGUAUUCAAAACUUUUACAAUUCUAUGUUUCCAUGAAGAUAAAAUAUUUAUAGUACCUUAAAGUAAAGGCAAAAAACAGCCUUACUACUCAUCCACCAAACGUCUCAUUUUUGUAUAUACUUCCAAAACAUUUUAGCCAAAGAUUAAGAAGGAUUGUGAUAACGAUACUAAUCAACAAGAUACACAACUUCUGCUUUAGAUGAUGCCCAUUGAGACUUUGUUAUCUCCAUGAAUACAUUGAGAGAUUCAUUAGUUUCCAUUUGACGAGGCUUGAUUACCAUUUUCACCAGUGCUGGAGACUUUGCCAAUUAAACUUUGAUAAGCUGCAUUUCAACCUCUUCUAAUAGUACAUCAUAAAUCUUAACUGUUCUUAGAUGAUUAAAUGUUAUAUCCGAAAAGCUUGAAGGAAUCUCAUCAACAACUUGUUGGUUCACACAUUCGAAAUAAUAUCCAUCACUAAGGAUACAUUCCUAAGAAAAAUCAAGAAAAAAACCAUCAAAUCAUUACACACGAAUAUAAAAACAUGGAAAAGAUAGAGAGAAAAAUAAGCAUUACUGACGACCUUAAUUUCAAUUUCUUCCAAAUUUGGGGAACUUCGUACAUUGCAAGUAAUAAACGAAAGCUAAAAAACUCUCCAAGAGUAGUCCAACAUAUGUAAAGGUAUUUCAGACAGUUAAGACCUGAUAGAAGCCUUUUUGGUAUAAGUUCAGUUGAUACAUUAUCCAACUACAUAUAAAAUGACAAAAUCAGGAUUACUCAAAGUCAAAAUAAAAGUACACAUAAAAAUGCAUUACCAUUAAGUUAAAUGAAGGAACAUUACCCCAAAAAGAUCCCAGCUGAAAGACUCAAGAGCAGGGAUAGAGGAAAAAAUACUGAGAAAAUCAUCUUCAUCCUCUAGAACAAAUUCUCUAGGCGCAUACAAAACAUUGGGAAUAACAGGAAUAUUUUCAAGAUAUAUCAAUUGUAUAUCGCAAGAAAAGACAAAUGACCUUAGAUUAAGAGCAGUAAUACUUAUGAGGUACAGAUUGUCUGUCUUUUAGCACCAAAUCCUCAAGAAACGGGUUAUUAGAGAUCAAACUUUCAAACGUAUUAGUAGAUAAUGUGACAUAUUUAAAUUUUACCCUAAUCAACAUACUAAAUCCCUAAAAGAAACAUGGAAGUUGUAUUUUAGAUUCCAUGAAAUACAAAUGCCACAAUGCUGAACAAUAGAAAAAGAAGUUGGGCAACCUAUAUAGAGGAUAAAUAAAUGGAAGUUUAAGGACAAAAUGUUGAAUGUGAUCAACAUUAGGACACACUAUUAUACUAAUAAUAUUGAAGGUGACCUUCAGUAUUAUUCUUCUAUGAAACCUGAGGAAACUAUCAAGAAUCGGAAUAAAUGCAAUGGUAGGGGAUGUCAAGUCCUCGGGUGUUUUCCACACUAUUUGAUCAAACUUCAGAUGUGGAAUUCUCCAGCAAAUAUAUUGUCAGUCCUUCAAAAGUGUAGUAACUCUUACAACAUCUCGAAAAGACAACCUACUUAGAAUCUCUUCGAUUAAAUGAAUGUUAAGGUUCUUAAGUCGAUCAGGAGAAGGUAAACUAAGACAUUGUUCAUCCGGAGGAAUGAUAAUCUGUAGAAAAUAAAUAAAAGUAAGAUAGGUAAGUUCAAUGUACACUCUACACGAACAACAAAUAAACAUAUCAUAACUCUAAGAUUAAAAGAAAAGGUGCAUAAUAGGAGGCAAAUGUAACCUUUUUCCAUGUUUAAAAAAUGCAAAAGAAAUUAUUAGUAGCUGACAUUUGCAUUGAUAUAUUUAAUCUGCAACUCUUGAUAUAAAUUUGUUUGGCUUAGGUUAAAUCAAACACAUAUCAAGUAUUUGUGUAUAGAAUUUGAAAAAAAAAACUUAGACGUUUAAAUUAGUGAUUUUAUACUUAUUGUACUAGAAAUUUAUAGUAUUGAGUGCUAAAAUCAAAAUACUAUAGGAAUGGCAUGUGUUUGUUUGACCGUAUAUUUAACUCUGGUACAACUAAUACUAGUAUUACAAUUAACUUCUUUUGGGAUAUAUGACCCUGAACACUUGAUCUACAUGAAGCAUAAAAUAUUAUUUUAGUGAACUACACACUUAAUUUCAAUAUUUUGGUGAAACAUAAUAAAAAACACAUUCUGAAAUUUUAAUUUUUGUAUAAGCUAUUAAUAAGAACACAAAAAUCAUGAGAAAUGGUAUUAUUUUGUAAAACCUAAAACCAUCAAGACUUGAAUGAUAAAUCAGAUUCCUAUAAAUUUAAAACAAAAUAUUGAUAGGUGAAAAAGGUGAUAUUCGUUAUCCAAGACUAAGCCAUAAGUCCAUAUGCCUUUAGCCUAUAUUUUCUCAAGAAAACAUAAUUAGAAUUACACAAAUAUUUUACUUUUUCUUAAUAGUUUAAUUUUUUUUAAAAAAAACUACAAAUCUUAGGAGGAAACAAGAAAUAACUAAUUUUGUUGCUGCCAUUACACAAUGAAUUUAGGUACACCCAUCAUCAUAGUAUACUAUUGUUCUUUUUUUAAAAAAAAAAUACUUUUAUUAUUAUUGUUUUACUUAGGUUUAUUCAUAGGAUUGCUCUAUGCCUUUAAAGAUUAGGCAUAUGUCUUAGGCUCCAAAAAAUUUAAAGGCCUAAUGUUUUAGUAACAAUAAAAUUAUCGUAAGCUUUUUGUAGCAAAAAAAUGAAUGUUUUAAUUUGUAUGGAACUCUUUUAUAUUGAUCAAUUUUAAAUUUAACCUCCACAUGAUAUGUUUAAGACCACAAGAUUAAAAAAAAUUGGUAUAUAUAUAACUUUAGUUUAAUAUAAUAAAAAUAAAACUAUUUUUAUUAAAAAGAAAGAAAUAACUGGAAUUUCACAUAAAAAUAAAAAAUUGUAAAAAUUCGUCCUCAAACUUAUUUUUAGCUUUAGGACACUAUCUAGCUUAAGCCAUCACUAAGUUUUUUUUUUUAUCAAUUAUGUGUACUAACUGUUGAAGGAAACUUGACGAGUGAUGGGACACGUCGAAGGAACAGGUCCAUCGAAGUAGACUGAUGAGUUAGAGUUAGACUCCUACUAGGAUUAGACUACUAAAUCUUAAGUUACGUACGACUAAGCUAUUGAAUAUUAUAGGAGUCAACAAGGAUAAUGUAUUUGACUUGUAAUACAAUACUACUCAUGUAAUUAUUUGUAUUGUAGUAGGAUUCCUAGUAUAACUAGAAUAGGACUCUUCGCCUAUAUAAGGAGAUUUUAACUCAACAUUAUAAUAAUCAAUACAUCCUUGAUUUCUACACACUUUCGUGAGAUUUAUAAGUUGUAUCUGACAAAUAAAGUUUUUUCUGCUAUUUAACGUAUUAGAUCAAAAUAAACUUAAGACAAUGAAUUAUCUUAUAUGGAGGACACAAAUGACUUAGUUGAUUCAAGUGAUGAGAUUAACCUAAAUUAUCACAGAACCAAGUUGAGCGACCUGUUUCAAUGGACAGACUACUGAGAAAAGUGUAAUAGGCGAAAGGGUGCAGAAGACAACAACACUGUUGAUGAUUGGGAGGAUAAGGAUAUGUUACGAAGGAGUUGGAUAUAGGGCACCUUGACAGAAGAAAGCAUGUACCUGAUUGUAGUCUACUCAACUGCCACGGAGAUGUGGGAAUUCUUGGGAGAAAAAUAUUUUCAAGCAACUAAAGAUAAGAAGUUCCAAAUAAAGUAACAACUACAAAGUGUGUGUAACGACCUGUUUAGUCGUUUUGAGCAGCAGAUUUUAUUUCUGGAAAAAUUGGCUAAGACGACAGAUCCCACGACGGACCGUUAUGGGCAUGACGGACCGUCACAGUCUGCGUAACCUUGACUGGGUCGGAUUUCAGUUUAAUAUUUUAAGGGGCGUUUUGGACUAUUCCUGCUUAUAAUUAUAAAGUUAGUGGUUGAAUAUUAAUAAUCCAAUUUCUUGAGGGUUAAAGGAGAUAACCUUGAAUUAAUUAGUGGGUUACUUUUGUCAUCUUUUAUACUUAAUUAUAUGCUAAUUAGGGUAAAAGAAAAAGGGUUGAAUAAGAAAUAUAGAAAGAACAGAGAGAGAAAGGGAGAAACGAUCGAUUGAGAGAGGGACAAGAAGAAAGCAAAGAUUUUGAGGAUUAGCUUUCUUGAUCACAAUUCUUCGGUGGAGCUAGGUUAUGGUUUUUAUGUUAUUCAUAGUAAAAUUUUAAUAGCGAAUGAUAUGUGUUGGGUAGAAUUGUAAAGUCUUCUAUAUGCUUAAUUGUGUGCUUGCAUGAUGUAAUUAUGUAAUUGUAAUGGGUUGGAAAGAUAAGGUUGUGAACCUUAAAUCUAAAACUCUGUCUGUUAAUGAUGAUGCCUUGAUAUAAAAGAAGGCUCGAUAAACAAAAAGAAUGAGGUUAGGGGAUCGGGUGUCACGAACCGACACGUAGUAAUAGGGGGAUCGGGUGUCACAAACCGACACGUUGUAAUAGGGGAUCGGGUGUCACGAACCGGCACGUAGUAAUAGGGGAUAGGGUGUCAUGAACCGACAGUGUAGUAAUAGGGGGAUCGGGUGUCACGAACCGACACGUAGUAUUAGGGGGAUCGAGUGUCACGAACCGACACGUAGUAUUAGGGGAUCGGAGUGUCACGUUCCGACAAAAGAGGAAUAAAGAGAGUGAAUCUUGAAUUAUUGUAAUAUACUCAAAUUUAAUGAACCUAUUUCCCCAAAGGAGUAUGGUAUGGAGGCUUGCUUCCUCAUGGGUGUACUUGACGUACUUAUUAAUGAUUAUAGUACUUGUUGUUGCUACUUGUUGAGUAUUGUAGUUGAUUUUAUGAUAUUAUCUGAUAUAUACUGUUUUCUAUCUUGAUUUUACCGAUGAUACUUACUCAGUACCUGUGUUAUGUACUGACCCCUACUUGUAUGUAUUCUUUUUAUUAUUUGUGGAGUGCAGUAAACGUACCGUCAUCUUCAACUCAACUGCAACUCUAGCAAGUCUUCGUCACACCAGAUUUCAGGGUGAGCUAAAGCUUCUAGCUUGGACUGGAUCUUCUUCUUCAUGUCCGGAUGCCUUCAAGUUCUGGCAUAGACUAGCUGUUAUUUAUGUUUAGUUUCUUAGAUACUCUUAGAUUUAGAAAUUUGAGAAUAGAUGUUCUUGUGAUGAUGACUUCCAGAUUUUGGGGAUAAUGAUGAGUUUGAGUUUUAGAAGUUGAUUAUUGUUUUUGUUAAUGAGUUUUAAGUCUUCCG
rnacentral:lncRNA from 1 species